AUUUUCUCUGGAUUAAUUUUCAAUUUAAUAUAUUUUUUUAAUUUUGAAUAUUUGAAAAUUUUUAAUUGAUUUAAUCUAUAAUAUUCAGAUACCAAUGAUUAAUUCAGAACAAUUUAAAAUAAAAGUAUUACUGUGUGGAAAAACAUAAAGGAACACAGUAGCAAUUGUGCUGCAAUCUACAGUGUAACUGUAAAUUGUCACUACUUCAUGGUACUAUUUCACUAAUUCAAUGUCAUUGGACUAUUCUGCUAGAACACUUGACAUAGUUCUCAACUUAUUUACCAAUGUUGAAGCUGUAACCAAGUAAAUUGAGAGAAAUGAAAAAUUCUACGCUCUCCAAAAGAGGUAUUGAGAUUUAUGUGAAUACCAAUAAACAUUUCUUAUUGCUAAUUAUUACCUUCACUGCACAUCUCCAUAUUUAUCUGAAGCAACAAAUUGUCUAUCAUAUUUGUCACCAACUUUCAUUAGUUUGCUGUUACCGUCAUGUUGGCUCCAAUCACAGCAACCCAUUCUCUCUUAUACAUAGUGACAUUUUGUCUACUCUCACAUAUUUACAUUUGUAUUGAGUUAUCCAUUUGAAACCUUUGAUGUUAACUCUUCAACUUUCAGUUCUUG
rnacentral:lncRNA from 1 species